CAUCAACUAAGUAGGACUCAUAGAAGCUCACAGAAACUGAACUGGCCAUCAAGGAGACUGCUGAGGUCCAUGGAUACACAGAGAAGAGAAAGACAACAGUUGACCAAACCAAAAAAUUGAAGUAGGUAUGGAUGCAAGAACCCUGACAGAC